AACUCAUUUAGAGGAGUCGAAUCCCCGAUUCCCUAUGAUAUGAAGCCGUUAGAUGCAUCGUAGAGCUGAAAACCCCUUACUGUGCAACCGUGUCAUUCCUGUAACUGCAGGAAAUCUCCAUCUCACUCUCAGUCACACGCGACCGUUCCCCGCGGCAUUCUCCCUUCUCCUCCUUCCCGGUUCAUCAUUUCAUCUUCUUCAUCAUCUGUUCUCCGGCGACAAUCUGAUCUGGUUGCUUUCUUGCUUCAGAGAUGGGAGAGCUUGCCGCUGAGAAACAUGUUCGAUAUAUUCUAUCAAUUGAAAAGAAGAAAGAUAGUUUCGAAUCUGUGGUAAUGGAACAUCUGAGGAUGAAUGGCGCAUACUGGGGAUUGACUGCCCUGGAUCUUCUGGGAAAGCUUGACACCUUGGAUGUUGAUGAGGUUGUUUCAUGGAUCAUGAGUUGUCAGCACGAGUCAGGGGGAUUUGGUGGAAAUGUUGGACAUGAUCCACACAUCUUGUAUACACUGAGUGCUGUGCAGGUGCUGGCUCUGUUUAAUAAGCUGGAUGUUAUUGAUGUAGAUAAGGUCACAAAUUAUAUUGUCAGCCUGCAAAAUGAAGAUGGAUCUUUUUCAGGGGAUAUAUGGGGUGAAGUUGAUACACGGUUCUCAUACAUUGCUAUUUGUUGUCUAUCAAUAUUACAUCGCUUGGAUAGAAUUAAUGUGGAGAAGGCUGUGAAGUACAUUAUAAGUUGCAAAAACAUGGAUGGUGGUUUUGGUUGCACGCCUGGUGGGGAAUCUCAUGCCGGACAAAUUUUCUGCUGUGUUGGGGCCCUUGCUCUAACGGGGUCACUAGAUCUUGUUGACAAGGACCUACUUGGUUGGUGGUUAUGUGAGCGGCAAGUCAAAUCUGGAGGUUUGAAUGGGCGUCCAGAGAAACUCCCUGAUAUCAUGUCAGGUAUGCUACUCAUGGUGGGUUCUUUCUAGCCUGAUCAUGAUUGAUAGGGUUCACUGGAUCAGUAAGGAGAAGCUUAUCAAGUUUAUCUUGGACUGCCAGGACACAGAAAAUGGUGGGAUUUCAGACAGACCAGAUGAUGCUGUGGAUGUCUUUCAUACAUACUUUGGGGUGGCUGGACUUUCGCUUCUUGAAUAUCCUGGAUUGAAACCGAUAGACCCAGCUUAUGCCUUACCUGUUGACGUUGUAAAUCGGAUUUUCUUUAGUAAAUAGGGAGUUGGAGGUCAACAAACAUUAUCCAGUAAUGAUAAUGUCUUGAGUUUAGAAUCAUACGGUCUGUAAUUCUUACUAAUAGUUGUGUUUGAUUUUGUGUAAAACAUCAACAGUUUGACCAUCUAUUAGUUAAAUUUUCAGUGAUACAAUUAUCCAUUAAAUUUAUGUUA